rnacentral:rRNA from 1 species
UACGAAGGGGGCUAGCGUUGCUCGGAAUCACUGGGCGUAAAGGGUGCGUAGGCGGGUCUUUAAGUCAGGGGUGAAAUCCUGGAGCUCAACUCCAGAACUGCCUUUGAUACUGAGGAUCUUGAGUUCGGGAGAGGUGAGUGGAACUGCGAGUGUAGAGGUGAAAUUCGUAGAUAUUCGCAAGAACACCAGGGGCGAAGGCGGCUCACUGGCCCGAUACUGACGCUGAGGCACGAAAGCGUGGGGAGCAAACAGG